rnacentral:piRNA from 1 species
UGAGUCACGCCCUCAGCGUCACGGCC